AUGUCCGGAGCGGGAGGUAAAUGGUUGGCCUCCACCGUUAAGGAGGAGCACAUUGCCAAACUACACAGCGCCGGAUACCUUUCCGGCGACAUUGCGCACCGGCUGCCCGACAAGGGGCAGAUCAUCCCCACCCCCAGGCCCCAUGAGAGGGUCGUAUUUCUCCCCCACUUCCUCCUCGGACUGGGCUUUCCUCUUCACCCCUUCGUCCGGGGGCUCAUGUUCUACUACGGCCUGGAUUUCCAUGAUCUGGCGCCAAACUUCAUCCUCAACAUCUCGGCAUUUAUCAUCGUGUGCGAGGCCUUCCUCUGCAUCCAGCCCUACUUCGGCUUGUGGCUCAAGACCUUCAAUGUCAAGCCGAAGGUAGUGAAGGGCACGCAGGCGGAGUGCGGAGGCGCCAUGUUGGGCAAGAUGCCCAACGUCCUCUGGUUCGAAGGGUCCUUCGUGGAGUCUGUCAAGGGGUGGCAGUCGGGGUGGUUCUACAUCACCGAGCCGCGCAACCCUAAGUGGGUGGCGGCCCCCGAGUUCACAUCUGGUAUCCCUGUGCAGCUCACCUCUUGGAAAGAGAAGGGCUUGCUAUGGGGUAGUUCGAAGGAGCUGACGGGACUCCAAGCCUGUAUCCAGAAGCUGGUGAACAAGAAGCUCAGGCUAGUUAAUGUGGUCCAAGUCAUGCUCGUCCGCCGGAUUCUCCCAUGCCAAGAACGGGCAUUCAACCUGUGGGAGUUUGAUCCGGCACAGCACCAGGCACUGAGCGGGCUCUUCGACACGACGUACGAAGGCGCCUCAAGGGUGCUGUUUAAGGGUGCCGAAGCCCCCGCAUCCGUGACGGAAGAUCGCGGAUUUCACUCGCAGCGUCCAGCUGAUGAGGUAAGUGAUUCUACCCCUUUACGGGACACUUGUUGUUAA
rnacentral:rRNA from 1 species